rnacentral:rRNA from 1 species
GACGAAUGCUGGCGGCGUGCCUAAUACAUGCAAGUAGAACGCUGAAGGAGGAGCUUGCUCUUCUGGAUGAGUUGCGAACGGGUGAGUAACGCGUAGGUAACCUGCCUGGUAGCGGGGGAUAACUAUUGGAAACGAUAGCUAAUACCGCAUAACAGUAGAUGUUGCAUGACAUUUACUUAAAAGGUGCAAUUGCAUCACUACCAGAUGGACCUGCGUUGUAUUAGCUAGUUGGUGGGGUAACGGCUCACCAAGGCGACGAUACAUAGCCGACCUGAGAGGGUGAUCGGCCACACUGGGACUGAGACACGGCCCAGACUCCUACGGGAGGCAGCAGUAGGGAAUCUUCGGCAAUGGACGGAAGUCUGACCGAGCAACGCCGCGUGAGUGAAGAAGGUUUUCGGAUCGUAAAGCUCUGUUGUAAGAGAAGAACGAGUGUGAGAGUGGAAAGUUCACACUGUGACGGUAUCUUACCAGAAAGGGACGGCUAACUACGUG